GUGUACUCACGGGAGGACUCGCAGACGUUACUGCCCUCUUGCGUGCCCCGGCCACCCCCGGGCGGCUUGUAGCCGGUGCGCGGGGUGGCUGGGGCUACGUGCAGAGCUGUCGCGGAGCCGGAGCAGCAGCGGUGAAGGCCCUCGGCUCGGCCGAGACCGCCGUGCCCACUGCUCGCCUCGGUUGCCGCCGCUUUAGCCGCAGCCGCUGCUGCCGCCGCCGGGGGAGAGGCAGCCUAUUGUCUUUCUCCGCGGCGAAGGUGAGGAGCUGUCUCGGCUCGGCCCGCGGGGGAGCCCCGGGAGCCGCACGGAGAUGGAGGAGGACAUCUGGACAGUGAGCAGGAGGCGCCUCGGCCCAUGCCGAACAUCCCAGGGGACCUGGAGAGCCGGGAGGCCAUGGUGGCAUUUUUCAACUCCGCUGGAGCCAGUGCCCAGGAGGAACAAAGGGUGUGCUGCCAGCCCCUGGCUCACCCAGUGGCCUCGUCCCAGAAGAAGCCAGAGGUAGCGGCCCCAGCCCCAGAGAGUGGGGGUGAGUCUGUGUUUGGGGAGACCCACCGGGCCCUGCAGGGGGCCAUGGAGAAGCUGCAGCGACUUUAUGGAAGGAGAAGGUGGACCUGAAGGAGCGGGUAGAGAAACUAGAGCUUCAAUUCAUCCACCUCUCAGGACAGACAGACACCAUAGAAAGUACAUCAGCCAGGGGGCAGUGUCAGAGACGCAGCACUGGGAGAGGA
rnacentral:lncRNA from 1 species